rnacentral:rRNA from 1 species
GAAUUUAAUAUAAUUAUUUAAAAAAUUUUUAAUUUAAAAUUAAAGUAAUUAUAAUUUAGUUGGGAGGAUUGUUAAAUUUAAUUAACUUUAAUUAAAAAUAAAAUAUAAGUUAAUAAGUAAAUUUAAAAAGAAUGAUUAUUAGAUUAAAUAAAAAUUAAUUACCUUAGGGAUAACAGCGUAAUAUUUUUAGAGAGAUCAUAUUAAUAAAAAUGAUUGC